UACGAGGGGGGCGAGCGUUGUUCGGAAUUAUUGGGCGUAAAGGGUGCGUAGGCGGUUUUGUAAGUCUUAUGUGAAAUCUAUGGGCUCAACUCAUAGACUGCAUGAGAAACUGCAGGGCUUGAGUAUGGGAGAGGUGAGUGGAAUUCCUGGUGUAGCGGUGAAAGUGCGUAGAUAUCAGGAGGAACACCUGUGGCGAAAGCGGCUCACUGGACCAUAAACUGACGCUGAUGCACGAAAGCGUGGGGAGCGAACAGG
rnacentral:rRNA from 1 species